GUUUGUGAUGACUUACCACAUUUUCACGACGGUCUACUGCGUUUGGGGACUUGUAAUCUCCAUACUUUGAUGAUAAUACGGCCUUGACCGGCCGUGGUCCUGAGA
rfam:Pichia sorbitophila strain CBS 7064 chromosome G complete sequence.